GGAGGGAUGGCCGAGUGGUUAAAGGCGACGGACUGUAAAUCCGUUCGCGUAAGCGUACGUAGGUUCGAAUCCUACUCCCUCCACCA
rnacentral:tRNA from 1 species